GGCACGCCUAAUACAUGCAAGUCGAACGAAGUAGCAAUACUUAGUGGCAGACGGGUGAGUAACAUGUGGGUAUCUUCCCUAUGGUGAGGAAUAACACGAGGAAACUUGUGCUAAUACCUCAUAAGUCUUUACGGAGAAAGCUUUAUGCGCCAUUGGAUGAGCCCGCACUUGAUUAGUUUGUUGGUGGGGUAAUGGCCUACCAAGACAAUGAUCAAUAGCUGAUUUGAGAGGAUGAUCAGCCACAUUGGGACUGAGACACGGCCCAAACUUCUACGGAAGGCAGCAGUAGGGAAUCUUGCACAAUGGAGGAAACUCUGAUGCAGCGAUGCCGCGUGAGUGAAGAAGGCCCUUGGGUUGUAAAGCUCUUUCGUCGGGGAAGAAAAUGACUGUACCCGAAUAAGAAGGUCCGGCUAACUUCGUGCCAGCAGCCGCGGUAAUACGAAGGGACCUAGCGUAGUUCGGAAUUACUGGGCUUAAAGAGUUCGUAGGUGGUUAAAAAAGUUGGUGGUGAAAUCCCAGAGCUUAACUCUGGAACUGCCAUCAAAACUUUUUAGCUAGAGUAUGAUAGAGGAAAGCAGAAUUUCUAGUGUAGAGGUGAAAUUCGUAGAUAUUAGAAAGAAUACCAAUUGCGAAGGCAGCUUUCUGGAUCAUUACUGACACUGAGGAACGAAAGCAUGGGUAGCGAAGAGGAUUAGAUACCCUCGUAGUCCAUGCCGUAAACGAUGUGUGUUAGACGUUGGAAAUUUUUUUUCAGUGUCGCAGCGAAAGCAAUAAACACACCGCCUGGGGAGUAC
rnacentral:rRNA from 1 species